UAAUACAGAGGGUGCAAGCGUUGCUCGGAUUUACUGGGCGUAAAGCGUACGCAGACGGUGAGGCAAGUCGGGUGUGAAAGCCCCGGGCUCAACCCGGGAACUGCAUUCGAUACUACUUCGCUCGAGUAUGAGAGAGGAAAGCGGAAUUCCUGGUGUAGAGGUGAAAUUCGUAGAUAUCAGGAGGAACACCGGCGGCGAAGGCGGCUUUCUGGCUCAUUACUGACGUUCAGGUACGAAAGCGUGGGUAGCAAACAGGAUUAGAUACCCUGGUAGUCCACGCGGUAAACGAUGAGUGCUGGAUGUCGGGGGUAUUCACCCCCUCGGUAUCGAAGCUAACGCGUUAAGCACUCCGCCUGGGGAGUACGGCCGCAAGGUUG
rnacentral:rRNA from 1 species